AUGGUUCGAGCAUUACACUCUUCAAUCAAAAUAAUACUAAUGUAAUUAAUUAGUAAAGACAAUGUUUAUACAAAAUAAUCAUUUAUCAAAAUGUAUAGUUUUACAAUUAAAUAUCGAAAGUCAUAAAGACCCUAUAGUCUAAAUACAACCCUUUCCCGUGUCACAAUCAGAGCGGAGCUUCACCGACGACUCGACAUCGAAUACCACAAAACCUGUCAAUCUGGA
rnacentral:lncRNA from 1 species